rnacentral:rRNA from 1 species
CCUACGGGAGGCUGCAGUGGGGAAUAUUGGACAAUGGGGGGAACCCUGAUCCAGCCAUGCCGCGUGUGUGAAGAAGGCCCUCGGGUUGUAAAGCACUUUCAGUGAGGAAGAACGCCUGGUGGUUAAUACCCAUCAGGAAAGACAUCACUCACAGAAGAAGCACCGGCUAACUCCGUGCCAGCAGCCGCGGUAAUACGGAGGGUGCGAGCGUUAAUCGGAAUUACUGGGCGUAAAGCGCGCGUAGGUGGCUUGAUAAGCCGGUUGUGAAAGCCCCGGGCUCAACCUGGGAACGGCAUCCGGAACUGUCAAGCUAGAGUGCAGGAGAGGAAGGUAGAAUUCCCGGUGUAGCGGUGAAAUGCGUAGAGAUCGGGAGGAAUACCAGUGGCGAAGGCGGCCUUCUGGGCUGACACUGACACUGAGGUGCGAAAGCGUGGGUAGCAAACAGGAUUAGAUACCCUUGUAGUC